rnacentral:rRNA from 1 species
GAUGAACGCUGGCGGCGUGCCUAAUACAUGCAAGUCGAGCGAACCACUUCGGUGGUGAGCGGCGAACGGGUGAGUAACACGUAGGUGAUCUGCCCAUCAGACGGGGACAACGAUUGGAAACGAUCGCUAAUACCGGAUAGGACGAAAGUUUAAAGGUGCUUCUGGCACCGCUGAUGGAUGAGCCUGCGGCGCAUUAGCUAGUUGGUAGGGUAAAGGCCUACCAAGGCGACGAUGCGUAGCCGACCUGAGAGGGUGAACGGCCACACUGGGACUGAGACACGGCCCAGACUCCUACGGGAGGCAGCAGUAGGGAAUAUUGCACAAUGGGGGAAACCCUGAUGCAGCCAUGCCGCGUGUGUGAAGAAGGCCUUCGGGUUGUAAAGCACUUUCAGUAGGGAGGGAAGGGUGAGUCUUAAUACGGCUCAUCUGUGACGUUACCUACAGAAGAAGGACCGGCUAACUCCGUGCCAGCAGCCGCCGUAA